UGCUGCUGAGAGGGAAACCAAGGUCAAGAGAGGAGAAGAGGUACAUCCAAGGUGCUCCAGUGGGUCAUGACAGAACCAGAACUGGCAUCUAGGUAUCUUGACUUCUAGCCCAGCUGUAGAGUGAAUACCAUGAAAUCCAAAUAACAUUGGUGUAUAAUUGUC
rnacentral:lncRNA from 1 species